CGCCUGUUUAUCAAAAACAUCGCCUUUUGUAGUACCAAAAAUAAGAGGUCCUGCCUGCCCAGUGAAUCCUUUAUCAACGGCCGCGGUAUUUUGACCGUGCAAAGGUAGCGUAAUCAUUUGUCUUUUAAAUGAAGACCUGUAUGAACGGCUCAACGAGGGCUUAACUGUCUCCUUUUUCUGGUCAAUGAAAUUGAUCCCCCCGUGCAAAAGCGGGGAUAUAUCCAUAAGACGAGAAGACCCUAUGGAGCUUUAGAUGUGACGCAAGCCUUAUCUGCUGCUUCUAAAUAAAGGAAUCAACACAUUAGCUCCUGCCUCAACAUCUUCGGUUGGGGUGACCAUGGGGAACAAAAAACCCCCACGUCCCUGUACUGGAGUCUUUUUUUAUAAAAAUUUUUUCCACCAAACUCACUAAAACAAGAGUCGCAACUCUAAUUAACAGAACCUCUGACUAAUGAUCCGGCAAUGCCGAUUAACGAACCAAGUUACCCUAGGGAUAACAGCGCAAUCCCCUUCCAGAGCCCAUAUCGACAAGGGGGCUUACGACCUCGAUGUUGGAUCAGGGCAUCCUAAUGGUGCAACCGCUAUUAAGGGUUCGUUUGUUCAACGAUUAAAGCCCUACGUGAUCUGAGUUCAGACCGG
rnacentral:rRNA from 1 species